UGAGUAACACGUAUCCAACCUGCCGUCUACUCUUGGACAGCCUUCUGAAAGGAAGAUUAAUCCAGGAUGGCAUCAUGAGUCCACAUGUUCACAUGAUUAAAGGUAUUCCGGUAGACGAUGGGGAUGCGUUCCAUUAGAUAGUAGGCGGGGUAACGGCCCACCUAGUCUUCGAUGGAUAGGGGUUCUGAGAGGAAGGUCCCCCACAUUGGAACUGAGACACGGUCCAA
rnacentral:rRNA from 1 species